UUUUNUCUUCCCUCACUUUCAGGCCUGGUCUAAGUGAAGCAUGGCCAUUUGAUUAGAACCUAUUUAUCGCCCAUAAAUGUGAUGGGAGCAUCUUUGCAUCUACAAUUUAAAGGAAUCUUCGGAACUUGUGGAGGAUAUGGAGAUUGCAGAAGAGUGAGAGUGGGACUGAUAUGAUGAAACUUAAACGAGAGAAGAGGUUAAAGGAGAGAAAAAAAGGAAAUUGUUGCAGAAAAGAAUUGGUUAAGACGAAUCAAAACACAGGGGAACAUCACAACUUCACCCUUUCCCCAUUGCUGGCUAAGUUCACCCAUCAUUGGACGCCCAUUUCCCCAUCGCCUUGGAUGAAAUUUAUGACGUUUCAGAGGUAGGCGAUGGCGGCGACCUGUCGGAGGAGGAUUAAAGGAGAGAGUAAGUAUCCUCCUCAUCAGCAAGAACAAAUAAUACGAAAAUGGUUUUAUUUUCGUAAUUAUAUUUCACAAUCAGAAAAUUUAAUUGGAGUAGUAAAUGGUUGUAUUUUGCGUU